GUGGGGAAUAUUGGACAAUGGGCGAAAGCCUGAUCCAGCCAUGCCGCGUGUGUGAAGAAGGUCUUCGGAUUGUAAAGCACUUUAAGUUGGGAGGAAGGGCAGUAAGUUAAUACCUUGCUGUUUUGACGUUACCGACAGAAUAAGCACCGGCUAACUUCGUGCCAGCAGCCGCGGUAAUACGAAGGGUGCAAGCGUUAAUCGGAAUUACUGGGCGUAAAGCGUGCGCAGGCGGUGCUGUAAGACAGGCGUGAAAUCCCCGGGCUCAACCUGGGAACUGCCUCCAAAACUGCAUGACUAGAGUACGGUAGAGGGUAGUGGAAUUUCCUGUGUAGCGGUGAAAUGCGUAGAUAUAGGAAGGAACACCAGUGGCGAAGGCGACUACCUGGACUGAUACUGACACUGAGGUGCGAAAGCGUGGGGAGCAAACAGGAUUAGAUACCCCUGUAGUCC
rnacentral:rRNA from 1 species